UGUACCUUGUCGAGUUAAUGUUCCAACUCCCUUUCUCGUUAGGUGGUUGAAGGAAUUCAAUGCCCAAGAACUAUGUUCAAAAUGCCUUUGUCUAUAACAACAACAACAACAUGUCAAUCGACACCCCCACCAUGUGUCUCUCUGCUCUCUGCUCUCUCAUGGCCCUUCUUUCUUUAAAAGAGGCAGAGUCGCCUCCUUCAUUCCUCACUUGCUCUUCACUAGAACAAACCCAGGAUCGUAACUUGCUUUUUUGAAUUGGUCUGUCAGCUUCAUUCAUUAAUAACGUCCAGCUUUGUCUACUUCGUUUUUUUCCUAGAAAGUACUAUGUUGUUGUGCACUGCAAGAACCCCGAGCGAAUGAAGAUGACUCAUUCUCUCUGACUUACAAGACUAAUGAUUCGGGUUUCGGAUCGACUAAUGCUUCUUCGUUUUCUUCGUAUUAAGUUUGUCAUUUUAGAUUGGUGAGUGUAUCAGAUAUCUGUCCAAGCUAGCGCAUAUGGUCGAUACCGGGCAGAUCAGGAGGACGGGGUAUUGGUGCGGUUCAAUAAGAAAGCCGCGUUUUUAAGUGUCUAAAACCCUGCUUUUUGAUUGAGCCGUGCCAAUAUCGCGUGCCCAUUGUCACUCCAGUUUCGGCUCCUCCGGUCCAUCGCAAGAAUCGCCGAGGAUGAUUGUGACUGAUUAAGCCAAAGUUUCCAAUGAUAUAAGAAGCCACGAGAGGCGAAGAAGAUGACUACUAGUUUUGUAAAACAGCCCUCGAAUGCCGAAGAUGGAAAUUUGUCGGCAAGGAUAACUUGCUAGCUAAAGGCAUUCCAACGGCAAAGCAAUGUCGCUAGUACAAGGGAAAAUCUAGCCUGUAUGCGUGAUUACCAACAAUACUACCUUUUAUAGUAUUUUUGUUUAUACAGCGUGACAUACUUUUGUGAUGUCACCACAAUCAAGAUUCUUUGUUCGUUUUAUAUCGAAGAAUACAAAUGCACAUAUCCUAAAA